rnacentral:rRNA from 1 species
UACGUAGGGGGCAAGCGUUGUCCGGAUUCAUUGGGCGUAAAGAGCGUGUAGGCGGCCAGGUAGGUCGGUUGUGAAAACUGGAGGCUCAACCUUCAGAGGUCGACCGAAACCAUCUGGCUAGAGUCCGGGAGAGGAGAGUGGAAUUCCUGGUGUAGCGGUGAAAUGCGCAGAUAUCAGGAAGAACACCCGUGGCGAAAGCGGCAUCCUGGACCGGCAUUGACGCUGAGUGAGCGAAAGCCAGGGGAGCAAACGGG